AACCACAACAAGGAAAACACCACAAGGACCACCAGAAAUCUACAGUGAUACACAGUUCCCAUCCCUGCAGUCAACUGCCAAGCAUGUAGAAAGCCGGAACAGGUACUUAAAAUGAAUGCUACCUGGAAUUAAAUGACUACAUAUGGCACAUCUACAUCUUACUUUAGGGACAUGAAUUUUUUAAAAUAAAUAAAAUGGGAAGAAAUGUAAAUGACAUCAGAUGGAAAUGUGUUUUUUGGGGUGGCUUUUAGAAUAAAUCCCAGCCUUUUCACCACUUUGAGAGCACAGCUGGCUUGAAUUUAAACCUCCACGUGGACUUGCUCCUCUGCUCUGUCUUAAAAAAUGUGUAAGGGACCUUGGGAGGGCAGUGAUUCACCACACUCGAGUUUCUUUACCUGAUCUAAUCAGAUCCACUCCCACAAAAUCGAUGUGAGGAGAAAUCAUUGACUAAUGAGUAGAAUUUACUUGAAUGAGAAAAUUGUUACCCUUGUGCAUAAAGAGAGAGAUGUAUUAUCUAUUACUUGCUAAAAGUAAGAGUCUUAGGAGGAAUGUCAUUACACAGCUUUUAACAGUUUUCUUCAAGUUUGUCCUGAAAUAGGGUCACAGUUAAUACUGUUCAGUAGAAGAUAGGACCCUAGAGCUUCAAUACAGCGUUCUGUGUUUUCUGUUUGAAUUGAAGCCUUAAAAUGGUUUGAUAAGGAUUUUCUAUAUGCCUCCACUCCUACCCCUCCCCAGGAUUCUUCUAAGGGGUGGCUUUUUUUUAAAUUCAAGGACGAAUAUUUUCAAAAACCCUAGUGAAGAAGAAAUAUUUACUGAUUACAUUUCUUUUCCCUUAGGGAUAAAGAAAUGGAGAAGAGCUUUGAAGUAGUAAGACACAAAAAUAGAGGUAGGGAUGAGGUUUCAAAAAACCAGGCCCUUAAACUUCAGCUAGACAACCAAUAUGCUGUGCUUGAAAAUCAGAAAAGCAGCCACUCACAAUACAAUUAAGGAAUGGGCUUUGCUAACCCUUCUGAGGUAACUAGACUGCAGCUAACCACCACCAACAGCCAUUCAUCAUCUGAUCUCUGCUGGAUCUACAGACACCGAUGCAGACCACUCGAUUUCAUGACCGGCCCUAUUGCACUAUGGAAGUUAAAGUGUCACGACUGCUCUAUGCAUAUUGGAUUUAGGGGAAUUUUCAUUGUUACAUAAAUGUGUGAACUAGUUUCAACAGUGUUCUUUCAUAUUUACUCUGC
rnacentral:lncRNA from 1 species